GUAUGAAGUAUUUAAUUUUGGGGCAACAAUUGAUGACAGGGGGUCCUUUUUUAAAAAAAUAAAGAACUCCAGCUAAGAAAUACAGAAAUAAUUAGAAAAUCAGGCCAGGCACGGUGACUCACGCCUGUAACCCCAACACUUUGGGAGGCCAAGGCAUGAGAAUCACUUGAACCCAGGAGGCGGAGGUUGCAGUGAGCCACGAGUGUGCCCCUGCACUCCAGCCCAGGCAAAAGAGCAAGACUUUCUCAAAAAAAUCCCAAAAUUAGAAAAUCAGCAUUUUGCAGUGCCCAAUAAAAUGAUGCAUGUGAGAAACAGUGAAAAUUGACGAUGACAGUUGAGGAGGCCACUGAUAAUGGGUGGACCGGACCAGCCCAGCUUCCCAGAACCAACCAUACCUCACUACAGGUAGGACCAGAAGACAAGUCCAAUGAGGUGAAGCAGCAGAAGGCCCCCAGCACUGCCUCUAGAACUCGCACUGGGCUCCUCCUGCCUAAGAAGGGCAGAGGAUGGGAGAGGGUCCACAGGACACCGGAGGGAUCAGCCCAGCAAAUCCAGAACACAGGACAUUGUCAGCAAAACACCUGCUCCUCAACACCUGAGUGGCACGAAGCACAGAAGAGGAAAUGGAGGCAGUGGCCUCCCAGUGCACAGCGUGGCCUCUGUCCAGACCCUGAUGUGGGGACACGAUUGCAAGAAGAAGAAACUUGGGGAAAAUUGAGCAGAGACUAUUAGAUGUCAGAAAGCAUUGGCAGUUGUGGUGGGUGUGUUCAUGGUAUUGUUAGGUAAAAAAGAAGAGUCCCUAUCUUUGCAGGACAGUAAGGACUUUUUUAACUUCUGUAAGUCACCAACCUGGGCAACAUGGCAAAACCCAUCUCUACAAAAAAAAUACAAAAAGUACCCAGACUCAUUGCUGUAACAUAAAAAAAAAAAAAAAAUUAACUGGGCAUGGUGGUGCUACCUGUGGUCCCAACUACUUGGGAGGAUGAGGUGGGAGGAUCCCGUGAGCUCCAGAGGUCGAGGCUGCCAGGAGCCAAGAUUGUGCUGCUGUACUGCCUGGAUGACAGAGCAAGACCCAAAAAACAAAAACUUCUGUAAAUCAGACAGUCUCACAAACUCAAAACAAACAGAACCUUGGGAAACAAUUACCACCAAGAACAUGAAUAGGCAGUUCACAAACAUGGAAAAAGCUGGAAGCUGGACAAAGUAGUACAUGCCUAUAGUCCCAGCUACCUGGGAGGCUGAGGUAGGAGGAUCACUUGAGCCCAGGAAUUCGAAUCCAGCUCGAACAACAUAGAUCCUAUCUUAAAAAGUUUCGGCCGCGUGUGGUGGCUCGUGCCUGUAAUCCCAGCACUUUGGGAGGCUGAGGCCGGCAGAUCACAAGGUCAAGAGAUCAAAACCAUCCUGGCCACAAUGGUGAAACCCCGUCUCUACUAAAAAUACAAAAAUUAGCUGGGCAUGGUGGCACGUGCCUGUAGUCCCAAGCUACUCAGGAGGCUGAGGCAGGAGAAUCGCUUGAACCCGGGAGAUGGAGGUUGCAGUGAGCCGAGAUUGUGCCAUUGUACUCAAGCCUGGGUGACACACAGAGACUACGUCUCAAAAAAAUAAUAAAUAAAUAAAAAGAGGAGUCCACGCUAACGAGUCCACAGCCCUAACAAGUGCUGCGGGCUGGACGUGGGGCAGCGUCCCACCCAGUGUCUGGUGCAGGGCCUUUAGGGGCUUGGCCUCCAGUAGUGGAGAGCACAGGGCUGAGUGCGAGCACUACAGCUGGGCCAGGCCACUCACGUUAUGCGGCCGUUCCUGAUGCUUCAACACGGUCCUUGUGGGCGAAUGUGUGAAAUCUCGGAACAAGUGGAGUGGGGACCUGAGCGUCUGCGGUGAAGCCCAGGCUAAGGAAGCCCCUCAUCUGCUCACGGUGCCAGGAGGUCUCUGCCUUCUGGUCCUGAGGAGUCGCGAGAUUCCUGAGGGAUACUAGGGUCUCUGCAGCUGUGCCUGCGCCAAGUAGCCGCGCGAGCCGCGCAUGAAUUCUGUCUCAACCUGGGGAAAAAAGCCCCGGCUGCGCCCUCGCCCACCACGAGCUUUCCACGGGACGUGGGCGUGCAAGGGGCUCCUCCUUGUCCCAAAGCCCUGUCCUUCCACGGGAGACACCAAGGCUCUGGAGCGGCCCGCGCGCCGGCGCACUCGCCUAUGUUUAACGAGAACUUAAUCCCCGUGCCCGUUACCUCCCCGAAGUCCCGGGACUAGAUAACAAGGUCCCGAAACGAGAGUCGCAGUAGGACCGACUGGGCCGGGGAAGGCAGCGAACUGCACCUGCGCGGGCUUCCAAAGCCCACGCGGCCGCCGCAGGCCUGCAGUGGGCGCGGGUUGGACAGCGGCGAGAGGCGGGACGGGACCUCGCCUCCUGGGCGCGGGCGCCCUGGGCUCGCGUGGGGGAAGUGCCCUGGCUUACAGAGGUGAC
ensembl:lncRNA